AGGCUCCUCGACAACAAGAUGUCAAACAAUGUGGUUACUAUGUGAUGCGAUUUAUGAGACAAAUUGUUGAAGAAGUUGAAAUUAUCGAAAGAGAUUCACUACGAUCUAUAUUCACACAAGCAGAGUAUUCUCGAGAAGAAAUUGAUGAGGUGCGAUCGGAGUUGGCAGAAUGUAUACAAGAUCAUAUUUAUGAGUAGGAGAAAUGCUCAAACUACAUGGUAGAGAUGGCAUGGAUAGAAAAUGUGGAUACAGGACAGUCGAGAUCAGUACACUAAGGAGCGUCUGGAUUCAGUAAUUGAUUAGUACACUAAGCGUAUGGAUUCAGUAACUACUGUACUAUUUUGAGUAAACAGAUUGUUGGCUACUUCAGUA